UCAGCCCCCAGGCCCGCGCCUUUGUCCAGCGUGCGAAUCCCCGUGAGAGCGGCCACCGGUGCCCGCCCCGUCCCUCGCAAGGCGGGUCUCGGCCCUAGCCUGCUGUGUUUGCCGAGAGGCCCACAAAGGAAGCAGGGUCCCUCUCCGCCCCGCGACGGAAUGAGGAAGUCCCCUGUCUCCUGGCCAACGUAAUGGAGACGAGGCCAAACACAAAACACCCCGUGCGCAGCUCGGAGCUCUUCCUGUUGGCAAAUCCUUUACAUGAGAUCACUUGAACCACUGAACAGGAAACUGGUCAUCUGACCAGACCCGUGGGAAUCGGGAGAUGCAGGAGGCGGAGACGACGCUUCGGGACCGUCCGACAAACCCAGAACAGGGGCGUUCCCGGGGAAGACGGGCCGUGUCUCCAAAAGCCCGAGCUGUACCUCCUGGCGCUUAGACUCCGGAGCGAAAGGACU